AUGCGCUCUGCCUCGCCGCUGCGCAAGUCUGUGCCUGCUCCGCUGGCCGCCCGGGAAGGGGGGAGGGCAAGGCCCCGCGUGGACCGAGGGGCGCAGCGAGAAUUAUCCAGCAUGUCUUCACUAACAGAAAAGGACAGACCAAUUGUUCAGCUGUUACUGAACACUGGUACUUGCCCGCGGUGUAUUUUGAGGUUCUGCUGUGUGGGAUCACAGACACUUUAUAGGCAUCCGUACAAGGAUUUGAUGAAGGAUUUAAAAGAAUUUUUGAAAAAAAAUCAAGAAAAAGAAGAUACAGUUUGUUUUGACGUAGUUGAUCCACCUUGUAAGAGAAUCAGACUUGAACACACAGAAGAAGGGCCUGAUGAUGUGAACCACAAUGGAGGACUCCAGCAGAUUCCUUCGGUUAACAAUGAAAAUACUGCAGUGGAGAACUUGGCUGUGAAGGUUUGCAAUGUGUGUUUGGGAGUUCUUCAGGAGUUCUGCGAGGUUGACUUUGUUAAAAAGGUGUGCCAAAAGGUUAAUUCCGCUGACUACCAGUUCACUAGUUUUGUAUUUUCUAUGUCGCUACCCCCACAGCUGUCUGUUAGGGAGUGUGCUGCUUGGCUGCUGGUAAAACAGGAAAUGGGAAAUCUGGGCCUUUCCUUGGCAAAGGAUGACGUUGUUCAGCUGAAAGAAGCUUAUAAGUGGAUUAUUCAUCCCCAGUUGUCAGAGGAAUUGGGUGUUCCUGCUGAUGGAAAGAGUUUGUUUGAAGUUAGCGUGGUCUUUGCUCACCCAGAAACAGACAAGGAGUGCCAUUUCCUAGCCACAGCCUGUCCAGACUGUUUCAAACCAGCAAAGAACAAACAGUCUGUUUUCACUAGAAUGGCAGUUAUAAAAGCCCUAGAGAAGAUAAAAGAAGAGGAUUUUCUCAAGCAUUUUCCAUGUCCCCCAAGUUCACCAAAGAACCUCUGUGUUGCUCUGGAAAUUCAGUGCAAUAAUGGUGCAGUUUUUGUGGCUGGAAGAUACAACAAAUAUUCAAGGAAUUUACCUCAGACUCCUUGGAUUAUUGAUGGGGAGCGGAAGCUGGAAUCUUCAGUGGAAGAACUGAUUUCAGAGCAUCUAAUGGCAGAAUUCAAAGCAGAUAGCUUUAAUUUUUCUUCCUCUGGAAGAGAAGAUGUGGAUGUGAGAACACUAGGCAAUGGAAGGCCCUUUGCAAUUGAGCUUGUGAAUCCUCGUAGAAUACAUUUUACUGCUGAGGAAAUGAAGGGACUUCAGCAGACAAUUAAUAACUCCUCAGACAAAAUACAGGUUCGAGAUUUACAGCUUGUCACCAGAGAGGCAAUUGGUCGUAUGAAGGAAGGUGAAGAGGAAAAGACAAAGACCUAUAGUGCCUUAAUAUGGACAGAUAAAGCAAUACAGAAAGAAGAUAUUGCAUUUCUAGAUGAUAUCAAGGAAUUAAAACUUGACCAGAAGACACCUCUCCGGGUUCUUCACAGAAGGCCUCUAGCUGUAAGAUGUCGGAUUAUUCACACCAUGAAAUCUGAGUACAUAGACGAGCAUCAUUUUCGCCUGCAUAUGAAGACCCAAGCGGGAACCUACAUUAAAGAAUUUGUGCAUGGAGACUUUGGAAGAACAAAGCCCAAUAUUGGCUCUCUACUGAACAGAACUGCUGACAUUCUGGAGUUGGAUGUAGAAUCUGUUGAUGUUGACUGGCCUCCAACCCUGGAUAAUUAACUUUUCAAGCUGGGACGAGGAAGAAGCAGCAACUCUGUCAGCAGCUGGUAACUGAACACUGUACAGUAUUACAGCUUGGUUGCAAACUAUUUCUGUUGAACAUUUGGAUCAUGUUGAUCUGCCAAAGGAUGCUGUUACUUUGAAUCAACUUUAAACACUCUGGAACAGUGCCUAGCCUUGGAUGGAUGCCUGGAAGAGCUGAACAUUGCCUAGAAACUUGCCUGGAAUAGGGAAGACUAGAGUUUUUCUCUGUGCUUGUGUGAUUUUUAAAUGUUUCAUACAAAGUACCACCUACAUCUUCAGGAAAAGCCACUUCUAUGCCUGUAUCGUGUUAAUCCAUUAGGAAGAUGCUUGUGCUUACCUGAAGUACAGAAGAGUGUUAAACUAUCAACAAGAAAUUACGGUUUGGAAUUGAAGGGCUCCUCAUUAAUUAACAUUUGAGAAAUAAAGAGGGUAAUAUUAGCCGAGACAAACCACUGUUUGGGGACAGGCAGGAUUACUGGGAUGUCUUACCUUCAAUUCAGUGGUCCAGGAUCUCAUAAUAGGACAGCUGUAUGAUAACUUCAGCUGAAGGUUCAAAAAGGCAUUAAUAAAUACAUUUUUCAAGGAGGUCUUAGAAACUGAUGUUGAAAAAUUAGUCUAAUUAUUAUACACUCUGCCUGUGCUGGGCUGUCAAAACUUGUGUCUCAUCAUUUGUUUUCCCAAUCCACUGUAGCAUAAGUAUGGUAGUAGUUCAGAAGCUCCUGUUUUUCUAACACAAAAAUAAUAGGAACAUGAGUCAGACAGCACUAUUUUUUUGUUUUUCAUCUUAAAGCUGUUAUGAGCAACAGAUUCCAGGAGUAGUUGUCUCAGAUAGAUAAUAAGCUGUACCCAGAAAGGAAGUAUUGUGAAUGAUGGAAAACUUAAGAAACUGAAUUCAGAAAACAAACAAAAGAGAAUAUCAGUCUCAUAUCUAUGUGAUUUCUUGAAACUCAAAGUGAGCUAAAAUAUGAUUUAUAAAUUCCAUAAACUACAGGGGAAAAAAAUGUAAACAAGACUGCACUAUGGGCACAACAGACAUGAGAAGAGCUGUUCCAAGGGGGAAAUAGAGCUCACAAGGCAGAAGCCGAAAGGGCUCCUGCUCCUGCUGUAGUGCAAGGACACUCGAAACACUGCCAUCCGCAGCAAUUUCUGCACAUUACUGUACGUUAUCGUGGUGACAGUGGAGAACAUGUUAAGAAUCAAAGUGUAGAAAAACAAGGCUAUAAAGAUUACACUAAAUGUGUGGAGUCUAAUCUCUUCUCCAUGCAAUGUAGAGAGGUCUGCCAAAAAUUCCCAAACAGCUUAUUUUUAUGAUAAAUGUGAAGUACCCAAAUGAGGGAAAAAAAAGCUGAUGAUGCAAGUUAUCGCUACAGCUCUUUAGAUAGUUAUUGUUCAGUGAUCAUGUGAAAAUAUGAAAAUGAGAGAUGUAAUCUGUUUUUUUGAACUUUGUUUAAAGUCUGCAAUUUCUAAUACAAAGUAAACACUUUGAACUAUCAUAAUCUGUAAUGAAUAUUGCAGCAAUAAUAUUAACGUUGUACUUUGGCCUUCAUCUUAUUUUUAAAAGUAAAAUACCUACUUGUGAGUACUCAGAUAGGAUGUUUUGUGAGAAUUAAGAUUUAAUCUUGUUCAUUAGGCAUGUGUGAAAGAGGGAGGCAUUUUCUAGCACAUUACAUGAAAAAUACUAAAAAAUGAGGCCUGGUGAUCUUAGCACCAUCCUUCUCUGCACUGGAAGGACUCAAAAUAAAGCCGUUGUGUUUCUCCAAACAAUUGGUCACCUAUAAUGCUCCCCCCCGCCGCUACAUUUUUUGCAUCAGCUUAGCUGACCCUGGAGAAAGCUGUACCAGUAGCACGGCUCUAGCUGAGCAUGAAAGCAUCUGUCCCCUCUGCCUAACAGGUCAAUUGCUCUGCCACAAAAAAUUGCUGUGUGCAGAUGAACCCUUACUGCACACAUUGCGUUAGGUUUUGUAGUAGCCAACAGUAACUGUGAACAGAAAGUACUCUAAAAAGCCCCAAGAUAAGCGACCCAUAACUUACCUUGUCCCAUUUCUCUGGCUUUCCUACGGUGAGGGAUGUCAUGAGUCUGAGAGGGUUGCAGAAGCUGAGUACUUAGUAUAACCAGUUUUUUAAUUACCAAACCAACUUGUUUACAAAGGAAAACAGAACUUUGAAAAUAUUUAAUUAUACAGUAAAAACAAACUGUACUAUAAAGAGCUUUCUAUGAAGUAAAAUGUUUACAUUUAAUAUACUUAAAAUUGAGAACUUCAAAAAAAAAAAAGAAAAUAAACAACACAUUUCAA